ACCUCUGUGAAAUGGAUUGAGCUACUCCUGC
rnacentral:piRNA from 1 species